rnacentral:rRNA from 1 species
CAGUAGCCGCGGUAAUACGUAGGGUGCGAGCGUUAAUCGGAAUUACUGGGCGUAAAGCGGGCGCAGACGGUUACUUAAGCAGGAUGUGAAAUCCCCGGGCUCAACCUGGGAACUGCGUUCUGAACUGGGUGACUAGAGUGUGUCGGAGGGAGGUAGAAUUCCACGUGUAGCAGUGAAAUGCGUAGAGAUGUGGAGGAAUACCGAUGGCGAAGGCAGCCUCCUGGGAUAACACUGACGUUCAUGCCCGAAAGCGUGGGUAGCAAACAGGAUUAGAUACCCGAGUAGUCCCUGUCUCUUAUAC